rnacentral:rRNA from 1 species
UGCUCUCGGGUGACGAGUGGCGGACGGGUGAGUAAUGUCUGGGAAACUGCCUGAUGGAGGGGGAUAACUACUGGAAACGGUAGCUAAUACCGCAUAACGUCGCAAGACCAAAGAGGGGGACCUUCGGGCCUCUUGCCAUCAGAUGUGCCCAGAUGGGAUUAGCUAGUAGGUGGGGUAACGGCUCACCUAGGCGACGAUCCCUAGCUGGUCUGAGAGGAUGACCAGCCACACUGGAACUGAGACACGGUCCAGACUCCUACGGGAGGCAGCAGUGGGGAAUAUUGCACAAUGGGCGCAAGCCUGAUGCAGCCAUGCCGCGUGUAUGAAGAAGGCCUUCGGGUUGUAAAGUACUUUCAGCGGGGAGGAAGGCAUUGUGGUUAAUAACCACAGUGAUUGACGUUACCCGCAGAAGAAGCACCGGCUAACUCCGUGCCAGCAGCCGCGGUAAUACGGAGGGUGCAAGCGUUAAUCGGAAUUACUGGGCGUAAAGCGCACGCAGGCGGUCUGUCAAGUCGGAUGUGAAAUCUCCGGGCUCAACCUGGGAACUGCAUUCGAAACUGGCAGGCUUGAGUCUUGUAGAGGGGGGUAGAAUUCCAGGUGUAGCGGUGAAAUGCGUAGAGAUCUGGAGGAAUACC